rnacentral:rRNA from 1 species
CAGCCGGGGUGCUCUUGACCGAGUGUCCCGCGCGGCCGGCCGCUUCACCUUGAACAAAUGAGAGUGCUCAAAGCAGGCUACUCUUGACACUAAAGCCCGAAUGUUAACUGCAUGGAAUGAUGGAAGAUGAUCUCGGUUCCAUUUUGCUGGGCCCCUUUGGGAAUCCGAGUUAAUGAUAAACAGGGACUGUCGGGGGCAUCCGUACUACGACGCGAGAGGUGAAAUUCAGUGACCGUCGUAGGACGAACAACAGCGAAAGCAUUUGCCAAGAAUGUCUUCGUUGAUCAAGAACGAAAGUUAGAGGAUCGAAGGCGAUCAGAUACCGCCCUAGUUCUAACCCUAAACGAUGCUGACCAGCUAUUCGUUAGCGUUAUUCCCAUGACGUGGCGAGACGCCCCCGGGAAACCUCGAGUCUUUGAGUUCCGGGGGUAGUAUGGUUGCAAAACUGAAACUUAAAGGAAUUGACGGAAGGGCACCACCAGGAGUGGAGCCUGCGGCUUAAUUUGACUCAACACGGGAAACCUCACCAGGCCCGGACACCAGAAGGAUUGACAGAUUAAGAGCUCUUUCUCAAUUUGGUGGGUGGUGGUGCAUGGCCGUUCUUAGUUGGUGGAGUGAUUUGUCUGGUUAAUUCCGGUAACGAACGAGACUCUGGCCUACUAACUAGUGGGCGGGUGUUCCGGUAAGGGGCCCCGCCCGACAAAUGUCUUCUUAGAGGGAUGAGCAGCGAGUAUAGCUGCAGGAGAUUGAGCAAUAACAGGUCUGUGUGCCCCCUUAGA